UUUAAGAAAACAUUCUACAAGCUUUUGUUUCUGCAGAGUUUACUGACACAAAGAAUUCAUGAAAGCUGGUGGCUUCCCAAGGGGUUUGUAUAAAUAUGUUUUAUUUCAACCCACAGGAUUUUUCUCAAUUGAAGCCAAACAUUUUAUGUUGUGCUUUCUCUCAGAAGAAAGCAGAAAAUAAUGCUACGAAACACCACUUAAUCACACCAGCAAAACACCUCUGGCAGUUCUCUUGAAAUGCGUAAGAGUUAUAAAAAAGAAUCAAUCAGAGAGUUGCUAACUGGAUCUCAGCAGACAGCUGGGAUCUUUUAUAGCAGAUGAGGAGAAGGAGGUAUCUCAAACACAGACCAUGUUCGCAUCUGGGAUUUGGCUCUGUGGUCAUAUCCUUCUGCAACAGGCCAAUGGAUGUUUGAGGACUGGCAGCUUUGAUAGGACAAACGUCAAAUUUAUUGGAUUGUCCUAAAAACCUUUAUUCUUCUCUGUGCUGUAGACUACUUCAUAUAUUUCCUGCCAGGAAAUAGCGAGGCAAAUCCAGGUCCUGGUGUGCUAGCCUUGUGGGCAGCUGAAAUGCUCCAAAUUCACAUCACUGCUGCUCUCCUGAGAAUUCCAAUCUCUAUUUUGAAUAGAAGAAUUCAGAAAAUUGUACCUAACUUUGUUAGAAAGAUAAAGUGGGGUUUAGCUAUCCUUAAGAAUUGCUAAUGCUUUUCCUAAGCAAUGAUCCAUGUCAGAAAGGUCUGUGUUUAGUCAAUCUCUACAUUCACAGUCAAAGGUUAGACCUGGCCAUCUUGUGAUCUUUUGUUAAUAUGCAUUCAUUAAAUGUUUAAAUGACCAUUUACAGAUUCGACAUCGACAGAUUUGAAUGGAGGAGAGUGUAGCCACUGCAGAGGAAAUGUGAGAGUCUCUUGUCAGACUGAGUGACACAUUACACACCUGCUUGGCACUGGGACUUUCCACCAAGCAGCAGCAAAAUGCUGGUUUUGAAGUGGCACCCAGAGGGCAAGUGGAACAAUUGUGAUGUGCAGGAGCAUCACCCUUUCAUGUACUUGUAGAGAUGCCCUAAACUUUCCAUUUUGAAACCCAGAGGAGAUUUGCCAGGUUCAGGGCAUCUGUCAAACAUAGUCUGGGUUAGCUAAGUGAAUGAUGGUUGCACAAACUACUCCACUGGUUUCUCCAUUUUCUAUAUGAAACAAGAUAAUAAUAAUCUUGUUUCAUAUAUAAUCCAAGCAAUAAUAAUCCAAGCAGUAGGACAAGAGACAAUGGGCAGAAACUGAUGCACAGGAAUUUCCACCUGCACACGAGGAAGAACUUAUUUACUGUGCGGGUGACUGAGCACUGGAACAGAUUGUCCAGAGAGAGUGUGGGGUGUCCCUUACUGGAGAUACUGCAGAACUGUCUGGACACAAUCCUGUGCAAUGUAUUCUAGGAUGACCCUACUUGAGUAGAGAGGUUGGAGCAGAUAACCCACUGUGGUCCCAUCCAACUUCACCCUUUCUGUGAUUCUGUGAAGAUACAACAAAAUGGCCUGAAAUAGGUCUCAGGGUGUUGAGCACAACUCCACAGAAACCUCAAAAUGUUUCCAUCAAACAACAAACACUCCUUAUUUCACAUGGGCAAGACAAUUUGCACUUCUCCUUUCAUUUUGUGCUGAAACAGUCUCAGAGGCUUUGGGAGAAAUUCUUGCACCCCAUAGCGUGUUAAUAAGGGGCAGUAGUUAAGGGGGACAACCUUGCUUUCUAUUUAGAGAUACAUCACUGUGUGCUGCUGAGGCAUCACAUUUACCCUCUUUGUUUACAGUGGGCUUCAGUUAACUGGAAGGAAAAAUAUCUGUGAUUUAUCAGUGGAACAGAAAAAGAUCGCUUUCUUGACAUCAGUAAAUAACCUACUAUUUACUGGUUGAUUUUCUGGUUUAACUGCUCUGUGUUAUUGUACAUGUGCUGAUAGCUCUGUCAAUACGUCAAUCCCUGUCUCACACACUUAUUUUCUCUAAAGAGCUUUAAUAAUUUUGUUUCAACAAACUUGCUUAGCAUGUUAAUCUGUGCUGCACAAUACAUGUCACAAUCCUGAAUCUCAAGAGAGGCUGAAUAGGAAGAUAUGCCUUUUAAAUGCAAACUAAAAACCGAGGUCAGAGAGGGCAAAGAGAUGUUAAGCUAUCGAGUCUGAUUUUCUCUGACAGUACAAGAUCGCUGUCUGAAAAAAAAGCCACUGUGUGUACUUACAUUUGAAUAUGAAAUAUAUGCAUUUCCUCUUUUUCAUGGAAAAUAUUCUGUCCUACUCUUUUUAAAAUGAACAUUGACAAGAGACUGGUCCACAAAAGAGAAUCUGCUGUUAUUUAUGUUGCUAAUGGCUGUCAAUGUUAGCAGUAACACAGAAUGAAUGCAUUCAAAAUUAAUUAUUCAGCAGCACCUGCUGGUGUCCUUAGAAAUACUGCAGCACAUUUCUGGUAAAUGUUUCUUCAUUACUCUAAAUUUUUUGCUACCCAACCCAUCAUUCGGGUGAUUACAAUAUAAGAAAAGGAAAAAACAUAUUUUCUUUUAAUAGCCAUCAAUUCUUUUUUUUUUUAUUAGGCUUACAUCCCUGUCUAAUGGAGAUCUGCCUCUCCAGGGAGCAGCAAACCAACCACGGAGGAUCUUGGUCCCAUCUGUGCAGUAACAAUUAGAAGCAUUUUAACUCUCUGUGUGGAGGGAUGAAAUUACAUUAUUCAUGAAGUGGUCCCUUGCAGCUGUCUGGCGUUACCUCAGCUCAUCUCAUGGGUUUGUCACUCACUCAUUUUCAAUCAGUAGCAGCUAUUCACAGGAGCUCAUACACAAGCCAAGGAAGCACCACCACUUCUAACAACUACUCAGAGUUUUAAAAAUCAUCUGUGAUCCGUAGGGAGCCACCAACAUGGCCAGCUUGCCACAUUGGUUUGAAUUCUGGUUUGGAUGUUGCAUGGCUGUGAAAUGAAACAUCUCAGCACCUCAACAAAAGUAAGAAAAGGGCUAGAGGACGUGAUGUGGAUUAUACAGCAAUGCAAAGACAUAUGUGCAAAUCUGGCAUCCUGACUCCACGUCGGGGUGCAUGAGAGCAUUUGCUAACAAGGAAUGCUGGAGCAGCUGAGAGAAGAGAAGGCUUCAGGGUGACCUAAUCAGAGCCUUCCAGUACCUGAAGGGAUCCUACAAAAAAGAUGAAGAGAGUCUAUUUACAAGAGCAGGUAAGGACAAGGGGGAAUGGCUCCAAACUUGGAGAGAGUAGGUUUAAGAUUAGAUAUCAGAAAAAAAUAUUUACUGUGAGGAUGAUGAGGCACUGCAACAGGUUGCCCAGAUAAGUUGUGGAUGUCCCACCCCUGGCAGUGUUCAAGGCCAGGCUGGAUGGAGCUCUAAGCAAGCUAGUCUAGCGGAAGGUGUCCCUGCCCAUGGCAGGAGGGUUGGAACAAGAUGAUCUUUAAGGUCCCUUCCAACCCAAACCACUCUAUGAUUCUAUGAAGUCUGUGGAUUUCUUUCCCAUCUAUCUCAUCUAUCACAGGGUGUUUUUCAAUGGGUGUUUGCCACAGCUGCCCGCUGGUUUGUAUCAGACACAGCAUUUAGACUGUGUAGAUUCUCCCUAUGGGUCAAUCUGAAAGUUAAAAUUCAAUCUGAAAUUUAUUGGUGAGAAAGGACUUUUGUAAUGGCUUUCCAAGUUAUAAAUCUUACAGAGUGAAAACUUUGUUUCAGUCACUUUUGAAGGAGUCUCAGAUUUUAUGGCCUCUGUGUCUUAGCAUUGGAAAUCGUUUUGAACCUGUGGCUGCUCUCUUGGAUUUGUGAGGAGAACAAGACUUUUGGGGUUUUGCCAGAUCUCAGCUACACAGAUCAAUAGUAUGUAUUUGGUGUUGUUCUGUGGGGUUAUUUUUUCCAGCUUGUGGACUGCUUUAUUAGUGUGAUGGAUGCAGUGUGAGACUCGUGGAUGAGGGAAUGUUGAGACAGAUGUCAGCUCUCUCUUCUGAAGCAUUUCUGUAAUUUGAAAGCUGCUGUGAUGACUGAUGUACACGCCAUGCAAUGGAACAAUGUCUUCCUUGUUACUGAUGAGCAGGACCACUGGCAGCUGUUGGUUUCUAGAGUGGUUGGCAUUUGAUGUCUGUAUUUUCUGAAGUUACCAAAACUUUCACUGUAUGGCACCUGACUUGUAGCAAGCUUUAUCCAAGGGACAUUCUUUACCGGUUUAUGAGGGUAGAUGUAUUUUUAACACUCAGAAUCACAGAGACAUUACUGUAAUAGAGAGAGGUAAGUACUUUAUAAGAGAACUGUGUAAUAGGCUGCUCUAUUAAAAACCCAUGAAGUGAAUCGUCAGAUGAUGUUAUUACCGCCUACCUCCCCUGAAGUCAGACUGGUGAUGAGGGCCCUUUAUCCUCGUGUUUUCAUCCAUUUUCAAUUACCAUUUAAGCAUCAAGUUGUCGUGUCUCACUGGAUCCUGCACAUUGCAGCACUGUCAUAGAGGUGUCCCACUCGUGUUCCGUGCAAGAAGAAA